UACGGAGGAUCCGAGCGUUAUCCGGAUUUAUUGGGUUUAAAGGGUGCGCAGGCGGGCUGCUAAGUCUCCGGUGAAAUGUCAGGGCUCAACCUUGGCACUGCCGGAGAUACUGGCGGCCUUGAGAGUGGCGGAGGUUUCCGGAAUGUGUGGUGUAGCGGUGAAAUGCAUAGAUAUCACACAGAACACCGAUUGCGAAGGCAGGAAACCAUACCAUAUCUGACGCUCAGGCACGAAAGCGUGGGGAUCGAAC
rnacentral:rRNA from 1 species